UACGUAGGGUGCGAGCGUUAAUCGGAAUUACUGGGCGUAAACGUGCGCAGGCGGUUCGCCAAGUCAGGUGUGAAAUCCCCGGGCUUAACCUGGGAAUUGCGCUUGAAACUAGCGGGCUUGAGUGUGGCAGAGGGGGGUGGAAUUCCACGUGUAGCAGUGAAAUGCGUAGAGAUGUGGAGGAACACCGAUGGCGAAGGCAGCCCCCUGGGUCAACACUGACGCUCAUGCACGAAAGCGUGGGGAGCAAACAGG
rnacentral:rRNA from 1 species